rnacentral:misc_RNA from 1 species
UCCCAGAAUUUUCGCCACCAACACGGCUCUAAACGAGACGUCAAUUCGUCUAAAGUUUUGGAUGGUUGAUGAGGCUUUGGUGAGACUCACGAUUGGUGUUCCUUACAGUUUCAAUUUUCAUGUCGGCUAUAAAACUAAGCAAAAAUAAAUGGAAUCCGAAACAGAAGUUGCUAAAACUGAGGUUUAUCCAUGCUAUGUAAAAGUAGCAGAUGAUGAUCAUGUAACAGAUGUUAUAGAGAUACCAACUGAAAAAGAUGGAACUAUAAUGUUAUCAACAAUACAGGCACAGUUUCCAAACGCAAUAGGUUUAAAAUAUAAAGGGUCAAGUGGUGCGUGGAGAGGAGUUCGGAUAUCUGGUAAUAUUCUAGACCCUCCAUUUGAGGGAUGGGGUGAAAAUGUUUUUUGCACAACAAUUCAAAAAACAGACUCUGUAAAAAGAAAGUUAGAUGAAUCUCCUAAUCGUGAACCUGAAGCAAAAUUAGUAAAAACAGGAACUGAAAAUGAUUUUUUGUCAGAUCUUAUUGUUUUGGGUCUACCAUAUAAAGCUACAAAUCAAGAUUUGAAGGAUUAUUUUCUGAAAUUUGGAGAAUUAGCUAUGUAUGAGAUAAAAAUUGAUCCUUUAACUAAAGAAUCUCGAGGGUUUGCUUUUAUUCGCUUUAAGAAUGAAGCCGCUGCUCAAAAGGUGCUUAAAGUUGACCAUAGUAUUCUUGGUAGGAGGUGUGAAGUACGACUUCCAAAAAAAAAGGAAAAUAAGCGUGUAAAGCUUUUUAUUGGACGUUUACCAGCUGAUACAAGUGAAGAUGAUUUACGCAAGUAUUUCAGUGAUUAUGGUGAGCUUACUGAUGUCUACCUACCAACUCCAUUUCGUGGGUUUGGUUUUGUUACCUAUGCUCAAGCAGAUGAUGCACAAAUUGUUCUUCAUAAAUCGCAUUCUUUAAAAGGUAGCAGGAUGAAUGUCACCAUUGCUGAACCAAAAGGUGAAACAAGAAGAGAUUUUGGUCGCAGAGAAAGUAGUGGACGCAGUUCUAGACAAACAUUUGACUUUGAAGACAUGCGCCGACUUAUGUACAACAAUACCAGAGGUUAUUCAUCCGCCUUAACAAAUGGCUUUUUAUCUAAUGAAAAUUAUGGUUAUGGAAAAUCUCGAACUGUUGAACCUAAAGAAGCUGUUACUUUUAUCCCUGAUGCAGCUCUUCAACAAGCAACUUCACGAAAUUUCUGGGCACCUGAAAGUGAAAAAUAAGUAACAAAAUAGAUUUGCUUCUAUGACAACACAUAGCAUAAAUACAUCAACAAUACAUCAACUUUUCUGCUUUAACUAUUGCUUAUUUCAAAUCAAUUGUUCAAUAUAUGACAACAAAUGUGCUAAACAUAAUGUGUUACAUGCAAUGCUAGUAAAAUCAGUUUUAAAAAAAAAUCAUUUUAAUUGGAAAACAUCAAAUCAAGUCGUCGCAAACGUUAAAAGUUACUACUCCAUUUUUAUAAAAAAAUUUUACUUUGAUCUUCAUUCAUACCUUAGAUCACUUUAACUACAAUUGAAGAUGGGAAAAUGGGAAAUUAUGUUUAUAUUUAAAAAAGCUAAAUUUGAAAAAUUUGUAAUUGUAACUAAAAACUGCUACUUAAAAUGUUUGAAAUAUAGAAGAAAUUAAUAUUUUUAUAGUUUAUUUGAAAUAAGAGUAAUUAUCAUUAUAUUUUUAUCAAAAAUUUCUUUAACUUAUAUUUAAUGUUAUUUUGUUUUUUAGAUUAUCUACUUCUCCUAUUUUAUAUGCUAAAAUUUAUAAGGUCUUUUAUCAUUUUUUUUCAUUUAGUCCUACCUUUAACUUUGUUUGUACUCUUUACCUUUAACUUUAUUUGUACCCACCACUUCAGAUGUUUCAAGUUAACAUCUGUUUAAAAAAGUUUUCAAAUCAGGUUAUGUAAUGCGUGUGUGAAAGUUGAAUAUGCAGUUCUACCUGGGAAGGCUUUAUUUUAUAUUUUAAAUUGUUAUAUAGUUCAAUUUCUAUGUACCUUAAUAUAAAUGUUAUAUUAUUUAAUAUAGUAUUUAUAAAAUACAUGUAAGUUAUAUAA